rnacentral:rRNA from 1 species
GACGAACGCUGGCGGCGUGCUUAACACAUGCAAGUCGAACGGAAAGGCCCUGCUUUUGUGGGGUGCUCGAGUGGCGAACGGGUGAGUAACACGUGAGUAACCUGCCCUUGACUUUGGGAUAACUUCAGGAAACUGGGGCUAAUACCGGAUAGGAGCUCCUGCUGCAUGGUGGGGGUUGGAAAGUUUCGGCGGUUGGGGAUGGACUCGCGGCUUAUCAGCUUGUUGGUGGGGUAGUGGCUUACCAAGGCUUUGACGGGUAGCCGGCCUGAGAGGGUGACCGGCCACAUUGGGACUGUGAUACGGCCCAGACUCCUACGGGAGGCAGCAGUGGGGAAUAUUGCACAAUGGGCGGAAGCCUGAUGCAGCAACGCCGCGUGCGGGAUGACGGCCUUCGGGUUGUAAACCGCUUUCGCCUGUGACGAAGCGUGGGUGACGGUAAUGGGUAAAGAAGCACCGGCUAACUACGU